GUGCUCAUGUUUUCAGAGCUUGGAGGAAUCCUACAUUUUUUUUUCAGGUCUGGAAGAGGACGAAAGUUAAGUGGAGACCAAAUAACUUUGCCAACCACAGUGGAUUAUUCAUCCGUUCCUAAGCAGCCUGAAGUAGAAGACUGGUCUUCAUGGGAUGAAGAUGCACCUACAAGUGUGAAGAUUGAAGGUGGCAAUGGUAAUGUGGCUGCUCAGCAAAAUUCUUUGGAACAAAUGGAACCUGAUUAUUUCAAAGAUAUGACACCAACUAUAAGAAAAACUCAAAAAGUUAGUAUUA